CAGUGAGCUGAGAUCUGUCAGCAGGAAUGAACCCAGCUCCUCCCAUUUUCAAGUUUACAUGGUAUCAAAGGAGUAAGACAGAUACACAAGUGAAGACAAAUUUUGGACAACACAAGGGGAAGUGCAGUCGGUCAAAACAGACUCAAAACCAGCCCCAAACCUGAUCUCAACCAAAAUGCAAAGCAAGUGUAUGAGCAAGCCUUACCGCUUCCCUUGGCGGUACCAGACAAAUGGCCUAACAAGCCCAGACAGGAGUAAGAUCCAGUGACGUCAUCCUUUGAGCGUGUCCGCUCCCGGUCUCAGUUCUUCUCCAAUAGUGAAAGGGAUGUGCAGUUUUGUGCAGAUGCUGAGAUCUCCCUGAAGACUGUCUUGUGGCAAGCCGCUGGCCCCUGAAUGCAGCACUGUCCCCAUCUCUCCUUGCUGGUGCGCCAGAUUUUGUUCCUGCACCAAACUGAAGGACGGGCUGCUAUUUCUCAUGACCCAACAGCGACAUGCAGAUGAACUGGGGAGGAAGAGACUUUUUAUUUCCACAGCUGGUUACAGGGAAAAGGCUUGAAAAUUAUUGCCAGACCAACUCAAAAUUACAGUUUUCCAGAGCUUAUAUACCUUGUAAGCUAUAUGUCUAUGUGUUAAGAGUGCAUUCGUCUAAAGAUCUCAGUGAUUAACGUCUUUGAAUCUACAACUAAGUAAAUCAGUCACUUGGCAGAGCGCUUUCUCCAAGUAAGACAAAAAAUCGAGGAUUCCUGCACUUCCUGGUAACAGUUGGAGUUCAGUCCUUCCUUUCCCCUUAUCUGACAGUGGUUGGCAUUUUCCGUCUGGUGGGGGUCUGGGUUUCUGAAAAAACAACUCAAAGACAUAUGUCAAGGUGUUGUCUUUGGUUUCUACAGGGAACCACACACCUGUAACUCUAGCUCACUGGAGUAGAUACUGUUUAAGCUGUGAUUACCUGCUUGCUUCUCAGGUUGUUCAUUCACUUCUCAAGCCUAGAUAGGUACCUGGAAUUUCCCUGGAAGGGACUCAAGAAUUUUCUUUUAUUCCCAUGCUUUGGGGGCCUGGAAGGCCUCUAAGGGGGGUUCCUUCUCUGUCCCAGUGGAAAAUUGGCUUGUCUCCUAUUUAUGAAUAAAAUUUCUUUGAAGGGUCUUUUUUUUUUUUUUUUUUUGAGACGGAGUCUUGCAAUUGUCACCGAGGCU